AGACCCGAAACCCGGUGAUCUAGCCAUGGGCAGGUUGAAGGUUGGGUAACACUAACUGGAGGACCGAACCGACUAAUGUUGAAAAAUUAGCGGAUGACCUGUGGCUGGGGGUGAAAGGCCAAUCAAACCGGGAGAUAGCUGGUUCUCCCCGAAAGCUAUUUAGGUAGCGCCUCGUGAAUUCAUCUCCGGGGGUAGAGCACUGUUUCGGCUAGGGGGCCAUCCCGGCUUACCAACCCGAUGCAAACUGCGAAUACCGGAGAAUGUUAUCACGGGAGACACACGGCGGGUGCUAACGUCCGUCGUGAAGAGGGAAACAACCCAGACCGCCAGCUAAGGUCCCAAAGUCAUGGUUAAGUGGGAAACGAUGUGGGAAGGCCCAGACAGCCAGGAUGUUGGCUUAGAAGCAGCCAUCAUUUAAAGAAAGCGUAAUAGCUCACUGGUCGAGUCGGCCUGCGCGGAAGAUGUAACGGGGCUAAACCAUGCACCGAAGCUGCGGCAGCGAACGUAUCACUUAAAGCGAUUCAGCGGGUUACGAUUAACGGAGCGAAGCGACGUCAAAGCGUAUACAAAGUCGAGUCGGUUUAAGGAUACGUUCGUUGGGUAGGGGAGCGUUCUGUAAGCCUGUGAAGGUGGCCUGUGAGGGUUGCUGGAGG
rnacentral:rRNA from 1 species